AGGAAGCGCUGGGGGGCAGAGGAGCGGAGUUAAGGCAGAAGCCAGUCAGGAUGGUGGUGCCUUCGCUGAAGCUUCAGGACCUCAUCGAAGAGAUUCGCGGGGCCAAGACUCAGGCCCAGGAGCGGGAGGUGAUCCAAAAGGAGUGUGCCCACAUCCGGGCCUCCUUCCGCGACGGGGACCCAGUGCACAGGCACCGGCAGCUGGCCAAACUGCUCUACGUCCACAUGUUGGGCUACCCCGCCCACUUUGGACAGUGACCUGAGCCAGGGGAUUCAGCCAGUACAAGGCCUGGCCUUGUGCACUUUGAGCACCAUGGGCUCUGCUGAGAUGUGCCGAGACCUGGCCCCAGAAGUGGAGAAACUGCUCCUGCAGCCCAGUCCCUACGUGCGCAAGAAGGCUAUUCUGACUGCAGUGCACAUGAUCCGGAAGGUCCCUGAACUCUCCAGUGUCUUCCUCCCACCCUGUGCUCAACUGCUUCAUGAGCGUCACCAUGGUAAGGCUGUGGGGCUCCCCAUCCUUUGCUUCAGCUCUAUGGACAGAAGAAUUGAAAAUCGGAUGGGAACCCCAGCUCACAGGAGAAGGGUAGUGCACACACACAGGCACACACGCAAUAGACUCUCUUGCCCCUGGCCCCCACCAUUCACUUCCCCGACCCUGACCCCAGGCAUCCUGCUGGGCACCAUCACGCUGAUCACGGAGCUCUGCGAACGAAGCCCUGCAGCCCUCAGGCACUUCCGAAAGGUGGGCUGGUAAAGGGGCAGGCCCUGGGCCUGGAAGAGAGGGUCAGUGGGGAAGGAAUGGGGCUUUAGCUGGAGAGGAUUAGAACAAAUGCCCAAAGUUGUGCCCUCCCUCCAGGUGGUACCCCAGCUGGUACAGAUCCUCCGGACUCUGGUGACAACGGGAUACUCCACAGAACACAGCAUAUCUGGAGUCAGCGACCCCUUCCUGCAGGUGGGGUGACCUUUCACUGCUGUAUCCCUGGAUCAGAGAGGGCAUAGCAGUAA
rnacentral:sRNA from 1 species